rnacentral:sRNA from 1 species
CACAUGUCGAUCAAGGUUCCAUUAUGUCGCCACCACAGUUCUUAUAUCGCUUUCUCUUAGCCUCCUCUCUUCUUGAAUUGGAUUACCUUAAAACCGUAAACGGGAUCUUACAAAAAAAAAGUCAAAGCGUAAACCAAGAGAGGACAUUUUGCUGUGAUGAACUUUUAACAUGCGAGUCCAAUACAUAAACAGUAUACAUUGUAGGUAAGUAGGACUUAUCAUUAAGACAGAGAGGAGUGAGAGGGGGUGGGAGUAUAUUUUAAUACCUAAUCAUGUCAUAUUUAAACAUCACAUCUAUUAAAAAAUCAAAACCGACAUGGAAACACAACUCUUGAUAUGUCAAAUAAAGUUGUUGAAAUGUGUAGUGUUUGGAAUCUGGAGUUUUUAAAAUUAUUUUUUUUACAACUUGGAUUCUUUCAAGAGAAGAUAUCAGGAUAUUUUUCUAGUGAAUAUAGAUUCUAUUAUUGAAAGAUCAACAAGACCAUCGAUCUAUCUGGAUGUAUAUCUAUAGGUUCAAUCUGUUUUUAAAAAUAUGAAAUCACAACAACCUCGUCAGACAUGGUCAGACUAUCGCGGCUCUUGAAAAGUGUUUGGGAAAUAGUUUAAGUUGCUUGUGUCGAGAUUAGCUUGUAUUUCCUCAAGAAACAUUUGUAUUUUUUUUUUACAUCAUUUCAGGGAUAAUUUCACGCUCUAUUUUUUUUAAAUUUAUUUUAGAGGUUGGUUGUCUUGGAUCAUUUGGAAAAAAACUGUAAUGUUAACAUUCCAACGAUCAGGUCUUAUGUGUCUUGAUUAAUACGGCUCGCGGUCUGUGUAGGCAUAGCUCUCCCACUUUCUCUGUUUUACACAAAGACGUACACACAGAUAAAAACAACAGAUAAAACAUUGCUAUCCAGUGUAUGAACUAACUUUGUGACUUAACUAUGUAGAUAAAAACAACUGCAAAUCAACUGAUAAGAUUUAUUUCUAUGAUUGUUUUAUGAAGGAAUAGUUGGAGAGAGCAAGAUCUAGAGCUAGACUAAAUUUUGUACGAUGCAGAUCACGUUGCUUCUUCUUCUGUCCUGUGCAGGGCUUGGUUUAAGUGCUAUUUGGUUUGGAAGAGGUGAAUGUCCCGGUGGUCAUAAGUUGGGAGAUACUUGGAGAUCUGAAGGAGCCUGUGAAAGAUGUGAAUGUCAAGAUGGUGGCUUCUACUGUGCUGGAUGCGGUGUGUACGCACUGACCUACGACAAUGUGAACUGCUACGACUAUCGCGACAUGAGCAAAGACUACCCCGACUGCUGUACUCCUCUUCUUAGGUGCAGGGGGGAGCCAGGAUUUAACGAGACUCUCCUAAAAAACUGAUGAACACAAGUAUUUAACUUUAAAAAAAAACAGUCUUCAUCUAUAGGCUUUGCACUUGAUACAAUUUGAAAAUGUACAUGAUGGUCGAUGUAAAAUGUCUACUAUAGGAAUAAUCAAAACAUAUAAAACAUAUCACCAGAUGAGGAUUUAUUAUCAAUAAACAAGUCCACAUUUUAAA